rnacentral:RNase_P_RNA from 1 species
GAAGUAAGACAGGUAAUCGCUGCUGCAAGUGCCGCAAGGCCGCAGGAGAGGAAAGUCCGGGCUUCACAGGGCAGGAUGCUGGAUAACGUCCGGUGGGGGUGACCCCAAGGAAAGUGCAAUAGAAAAGAAACCGCCAUGGCUUGCCAUGGUAAGGGUGGAAUGGCGGUGUAAGAGACCACCGCUUCUCUGGUAACAGGGAAGGCUGUGUAAACCCCAUCCGAAGCAAGACCGAAACGAAGCUUACGUGGCCCGCCAGCUUCAGGUUGGUCGCUUGAGGCGAUUGGCAACAGUCGUCCUAGAUAGAUGAUUACUCAAUGACAUAACCCGGCUCAUCGUCUUGCUUCUUUU